GAACAGAAAUCGAUGGUCAGAAAUUCUUUAUAGACUUUGUAUGAUCAUAGGACAGAUGUCAGCCGCUAACAUCGAAUCGCAACGAUCAUUUCGCGGAUAUAAUGUAUUGGCAGUCACUGCGGAAAUGAGAGUCGAUUUCUUUGUUCCACCUCUUCUUCCAAGGACGCCCACUUCGCUUGUAGAAUUUUAUUCCUGUCAUAAGGCCGUCGAGAUCGGUGAGAGUGCUGGACUUGAUCAGGGUUUAAGCAGAAGUGAACAAACAUCAAUACAACGUUUGAAGGGCAAUCUUUUGCAUCAUUCGCGCUGCCUAUCACCACAGGCGAAGGUUUGUAGUUCGAUUCCUGCCAGUUUAAUCCAAAUUUCGGCAAAAGAUUGAUUCUACAGAUGAGUGAAAACUUUAUCUUGUACACUCCCCCAGAAACAUUUGGAGUUAUCCGGUGAACGAAUAGGACGGCGGUACAAGAACUCUUGUCUUUCUGGAUUCGCUCUCGUCUUCCUCUCAUGUUUUUCCCUGGCAGAGGCCAGGGCGGUGCGGCGAAUGGUUACAGUACGAGUCCAGUCGAGGACCGAAGCAAAGUUCCUGGUUUACUCUGCAACUAACAUCCCAAGAAUUCACAGUAAGGGAUAGAGUUAUUUAAUAAAUGCUCCAAUCAAGGUAUAUUUUUAGCGCCUUCUCCAAUCUAUGUUUGUCCAGAUUUCUAUUUAUAAGUUCUACUGUAUUUUCCUCUUUUAUGAUUGGUCCAUAGGUCUCCCCUUCCCUUUAGUUGUGUAGGUGGUCUAUAAGAUUUUUGAAUCAGUUUUGUUCUACACUCUUUUUAGAGUCCAGCUCGACAGGGUUUUAGAAGUUGAGUCUAUCUAUCAGCCCAAAUGUAUGGAGCUGUAAAAUGCUAUGAAAUAUGAG